UGUGAGGGGUCAGCAAAUGUCCAGGAGAUGUUGGAGGCAGUGAGAUGCAGGUGGCAGAACAAGCAGGUGGAGGGGAUGGAAAGGGAUGGGAGCGUGGGGGAGAUGUCAUUGGUUUCAGCGAUGUGGAAGAACUAAAGAGAGAAAAGUUGGGGUGAAGGAGGAAAUAAGAAGAGAGAAGAACAGUAUCAGGAUUGGAACGCAUAUUCCCAUUUUCACAGUAACUUUCCACCUUUCCCUGCUGAAGUCCAUGCCCCGUGUGCUACCCAUAGCCUUCUGCAGCAGAGCAAUGCGCCAGCAGCUCCACAGUGUAAAGGCUGCAGAGCUCUUACAGCAGCAGCCUGCCUCCCAAGGUGAUCUCCCAUAGGAAAAGCCAAAUUAUCCUUCAGAGACCAAUUCAAAACUGCAGUAAUGCAUGGUGUGCAUUUGAAAGAAGUCGAGAAUUUGCAUGAAUUAAUUCCCAUUCUGUUUCAAUCUGGAGAAUUUUUAACUUGCACUCUCAUAUUGAACACCUCUUCACAAGGUUCUAAUAAUCCAUGUCUGAAAAGAAGGCUGCCCCAGUGCUUAGUGCUGCUGCAUGGGAAUUGGGAGAACAGGAUGAUACCUGGGAGGCAUCUGGCCUCCCCUCUCCUUUCUCUGUGCCACUAAGGUCCACCUGGAAGGUGAUGAGACUAUCACUGCCCUUUUCAGAAUGACAAAGGAAGCUUUUUUCCCUUGGAAAACCAGGACUCGAUCCUACAGAAGUGAUUGCCUAUGCUUUAUAUUCUUGGGUACCACCUAGUGGCACCAUCUCUGUUAACUAUGGAUAUAACUUAUUUACAGAGCAUUCCAGAGGUUGGCUACCACAAUCCUGAGACGAAGUGUAUGUCCUUAAUAGCACGUCUUUUCAGUGCAUAUAGAAAGUGACCAAAACCAACUGCAGUGAACUACUGAAAAGAAAUUGGGCAGAUAUUCACAGACAUUAUAUAGCGAUAUUUAUUCUAAUCUAAUCGUGAUAAACUAUGUUCAUCACUUCAUUAUAGUGGUUGCAGUGAUUAAUAUUUGUCUUUUGACUAAAAAAUGUCUUUUUCCUUAAAUUUUUGUGAUUUUGCUAGCAGCUGAAGAACUUUAAGUUGGUUUGUAUCCGUCUGCUACUGCAACUGUACUGUUAUUCUCUUGAAAAAUAGCUCCUAACAAAACAGGGAAAGCACACCAGGCUCUUUCUGUGAGUUUGAUGGUACAUUCACCAGCAGUAUAAAUGACUUGCAGACAAUUCAGAAUGCCUUUGUUUUAUAGGUUCUGUUCCCAGUGUCCUGAAUGAAAUGCAUAUCCCUAACCUAUUAAGUACAAAUCGCUUAAAGAUGUAAAUUUUUUAUCGCUUGCUAAAUGUUAAUGUAUGACUUGUAAAAUGUUAAAGUAGUAAAUAGCUUCUUUGAGCUCAUACACACUAAAUUUCAUUUCAUAGCCCUAAGCAUUUAAGGUAACAGUCACAGGGUAUUAGUUAGAGAGAUUUCCAUAAUCCUCAUUGACUUUAAUUUAUUAUUGUUAAAAAGAAAAAAAA